AUUGAACGCUGGCGGCAGGCCUAACACAUGCAAGUCGAGCGGAUGAAGGGAGCUUGCUCCUGUAUUCAGCGGCGGACGGGUGAGUAAUGCCUAGGAAUCUGCCUGGUAGUGGGGGAUAACGUCCGGAAACGGGCGCUAAUACCGCAUACGUCCUGAGGGAGAAAGUGGGGGAUCUUCGGACCUCACGCUAUCAGAUGAGCCUAGGUCGGAUUAGCUAGUUGGUGGGGUAAAGGCCUACCAAGGCGACGAUCCGUAACUGGUCUGAGAGGAUGAUCAGUCACACUGGAACUGAGACACGGUCCAGACUCCUACGGGAGGCAGCAGUGGGGAAUAUUGGACAAUGGGCGAAAGCCUGAUCCAGCCACGCCGCGUGUGUGAAGAAGGUCUUCGGAUUGUAAAGCACUUUAAGUUGGGAGGAAGGGCAGUAAGUGAAUACCUUGCUGUUUUGACGUUACCAACAGAAUAAGCACCGGCUAACUUCGUG
rnacentral:rRNA from 1 species